AUUUCCUAGAAGCUGAGAACACUGAGCUGACAGAUCAACCCCCCUUCCUUCCCACAGUGGGUCAUGGGGCCAAGGAGGAAGAAGAGGAACCAGGUGCUGGCACCCCAGGUCGCAAACACAUGCACUCCCCCUCAGCCCCGGAGCACGGGGCCUCGUUGCCUUGUCCCUCUGAGCCAUCGCGGCCUCUCGCUUCUGCCCUCUUUAUGUUUGGGCUCCUCCUGGACUUCCCUUCAGCACCAGAGACCCCUGCAGCCCAGACCCCAGGAGACUAAGAGGCCUGGGUGGUCUCUGGGAUGGGCGGGGAGGCACACAUGUGCAGGACUGGCUCUUCCCCACUCUGCUCCAGGGCCGAGGCCCCAAAUAGCUGGACUUCUAUAUUUAGAAGCUGGCUCAGCAGCACCAGGGAACUAUAAAUACAGCCCAGAUCAGUGCAGCCUCCAAAAUCCCCAGGCCAGGCUGGGAUGAGUAGGGAGCAAGGAGUUAGGGAGAUGUCAGUGGGGCCAGAUGGGGUCUGCAGUGAGGGCCCCCUGGGCCAGGUGCACACUGACAGGCCAGGCUCCCGGAAAC
rnacentral:lncRNA from 1 species